GUGCUCACUUCAGCAGCAUGUAUACUAAAAUUGGAAUGAUACAGAGUAGAUUAGCUUGUCCCCUGUGCAAAGAUGACAUGCAAAACUAUGCUAUAAUAUGUCUUAAU